AAGUCGUAACAAGGUUUCCGUAGGUGAACCUGCGGAAGGAUCAUUAUUGAAUCAUUGACGGUCCGGACAGAGGUUGUUGCUGGCCUUAUUAGGUAUGUGCACACCUUGACCGGACUUGUCUACAAUGUCCCCUUUACACACCAUGUGCACAUCUGUAGCUGAGGGAUGAUUACGAAGUUGCCAUUCGGUUGACUCUGAAUGCUCUCGCUAUGUUCAUACUAUACAUACGCAUAUAAUGUCAUUUGGAAUGUUUGUCUAGCGUGUAACAGCGCGAAUGCAAUACAA
rnacentral:misc_RNA from 1 species